rnacentral:snoRNA from 1 species
AAAUAUGUGAUGUUAUUUUACUGCCCCAGUCUGAGAACUAUGACUGAAUCAGUUGUCUGAAAAUUG